UACGUAGGGUGCAAGCGUUAUCCGGAAUUAUUGGGCGUAAAGAGCUCGUAGGCGGUUUGUCGCGUCUGCUGUGAAAACUGGGGGCUCAACCUCCAGCCUGCAGUGGGUACGGGCAGACUAGAGUGCGGUAGGGGAGAUUGGAAUUCCUGGUGUAGCGGUGGAAUGCGCAGAUAUCAGGAGGAACACCGAUGGCGAAGGCAGAUCUCUGGGCCGUAACUGACGCUGAGGAGCGAAAGCAUGGGGAGCGAACAGG
rnacentral:rRNA from 1 species